rnacentral:tRNA from 1 species
UAGCCGGCACCAAUCAAGUAGGUGGGAUUCCCGAGCGGCCAAAGGGAGCAGACUGUAAAUCUGCCGUCACAGACUUCGAAGGUUC